CAGUCGCCGCGGGAAUACGAAGGGGGCUAGCGUUGUUCGGAUUUACUGGGCGUAAAGGGCGCGUAGGCGGACUGAUAAGUCAGGGGUGAAAUCCCAAGGCUCAACCUUGGAACUGCCUUUGAUACUGUUUGUCUUGAGUUCGAGAGAGGUAAGUGGAACUGCGAGUGUAGAGGUGAAAUUCGUAGAUAUUCGCAAGAACACCAGUGGCGAAGGCGGCUUACUGGCUCGAAACUGACGCUGAGGCGCGAAAGCGUGGGGAGCAAACAGGAUUAGAUACCCCGGUAGUCCCUGUCUCUUAUAC
rnacentral:rRNA from 1 species